rnacentral:rRNA from 1 species
AGAGUUUGAUCCUGGCUCAGGAUGAACGCUAGCGGCAGGCUUAACACAUGCAAGUCGAGGGGUAACGGGGAAGCUUGCUUCCGCCGACGACCGGCGCACGGGUGCGUAACGCGUAUACAAUCUACCUUAUACUGGGGCAUAGCCUUUAGAAAUGAAGAUUAACCCCCCAUAGUCUCUUAGAGUGGCAUCACUUCUAGAGUAAAGGUUACGGUAUAAGAUGAGUAUGCGUUCUAUUAGUUUGUUGGUGUGGUAACGGCACACCAAGACUACGAUAGAUAGGGGCCCUGAGAGGGGGAUCCCCCACACUGGUACUGAGACACGGACCAGACUCCUACGGGAGGCAGCAGUGAGGAAUAUUGGACAAUGGAGGCAACUCUGAUCCAGCCAUGCCGCGUGCAGGAAGACUGCCCUAUGGGUUGUAAACUGCUUUUAUACAGGAAGAAACACCUCUACGUGUAGAGGCUUGACGGUACUGUAAGAAUAAGGAUCGGCUAACUCCGUGCCAGCAGCCGCGGUAAUACGGAGGAUCCAAGCGUUAUCCGGAAUCAUUGGGUUUAAAGGGUCCGUAGGUGGAUAAUUAAGUCAGAGGUGAAAUCUUGCAGCUCAACUGUAAAAUUGCCUUUGAAACUGGUUAUCUUGAGUUAUUAUGAAGUAGUUAGAAUAUGUAGUGUAGCGGUGAAAUGCAUAGAUAUUACAUAGAAUACCAAUUGCGAAGGCAGAUUACUAAUAAUCAACUGACACUGAUGGACGAAAGCGUGGGUAGCGAACAGGAUUAGAUACCCUGGUAGUCCACGCCGUAAACGAUGGUUACUAGCUGUUUGGACUUCGGUCUGAGUGGCUAAGCGAAAGUGAUAAGUAACCCACCUGGGGAGUACGUUCGCAAGAAUGAAACUCAAAGGAAUUGACGGGGGCCCGCACAAGCGGUGGAGCAUGUGGUUUAAUUCGAUGAUACGCGAGGAACCUUACCAGGGCUUAAAUGUAAGUUGCAUUAGUUAGAGAUAGCUAUUUCUUCGGACCACUUACAAGGUGCUGCAUGGUUGUCGUCAGCUCGUGCCGUGAGGUGUCAGGUUAAGUCCUAUAACGAGCGCAACCCCUGUUGUUAGUUGCCAGCGAGUCAUGUCGGGAACUCUAGCAAGACUGCCAGUGCAAACUGUGAGGAAGGUGGGGAUGACGUCAAAUCAUCACGGCCCUUACGUCCUGGGCUACACACGUGCUACAAUGGUAGGUACAGAGAGCAGCCACUGCGCGAGCAGGAGCGAAUCUAUAAAACCUAUCACAGUUCGGAUCGGAGUCUGCAACUCGACUCCGUGAAGCUGGAAUCGCUAGUAAUCGGAUAUCAGCCAUGAUCCGGUGAAUACGUUCCCGGGCCUUGUACACACCGCCCGUCAAGCCAUGGAAGUUGGAAGUGCCUGAAGUCCGUCACCGUAAGGAGCGGCCUAGGGUAAAGUCGAUAACUAGGGCUAAGUCGUAACAAGGUAACC